rnacentral:rRNA from 1 species
CCUACGGUGAGCAGCAGUGAGGAAUAUUGGUCAAUGGACGAGAGUCUGAACCAGCCAAGUAGCGUAAAGGAUGACUGCCCUAUGGGUUGUACACUUCUUUUAUAUGGGGAUAACAUGUUCCACGUGUGGGAUUUUGUAUGUACCAUAUGAAUACGGAUCGGCUAACUCCGUGCCAGCAGCCGCGGUAGUUCGGAGGAUCCGAGCGUUAUCCGGAUUUAUUGGGUUUAAAGGGAGCGUAGGUGGAUUGUUAAGUCAGUUGUGAAAGUUUGCGGCUCAACUGUAAAAUUGCAGUUGAAACUGGCAGUCUUGAGUACAGUAGAGGUGGGCGGAAUUCGUGGUGUAGCGGUGAAAUGCUUAGAUAUCACGAAGAACUCCGAUUGCGAAGGCAGCUCACUGGACUGCAACUGAAACUGAGGCUCGAAAGUGUGGGUAUCAAACAGGAUUAGAUACCCGUGUAGUC